UCCGCUGUGGUCUGGUGGUUAGGAAUUACGGCUCUCACCCGUAAGGCGCGGGUUCGACUCCCGGCAACGGAA
rnacentral:tRNA from 1 species